GCGUACGUGGCGGAAUUGGUAGACGCGUUAGGUUGAGGGCCUAAUGACUUAUUUAGUUGUGGAAGUUCGAGUCUUCUCGUGCGCA
rnacentral:tRNA from 1 species